AAAGCAACGUGGGUGAGAGCCGGACAGGACCCUGGUCCUGAAGGAGCAGUGUCUCCCUCCCACCUCGGCUGGCCUCAAGACCCUGGUUCCCAGAAGAGGAAACAGGCUCAGUGCUCACGGGAAGUGCUCAGCGCACAGGAUUCCAACUCAAAUCUGCCGGACACAGAAGGGUAUACCCACAGCCCCUCAUCUGGGAUAGAGCCGAUGGGAAGGGGGCCUUGUACUGCAGAUGGGGACCCCCAGGGACUACUGGGCGACAUGGAGAACAAGGGAAUGCCUAACAAUGUGGAAUUGAAAGAACCAAUGGGGGGAGGGCUGGGGAUAUGGCCUAGUGGCAAGAGAGCUUGCCUC